rnacentral:rRNA from 1 species
UACGGGGGGGGCAAGCGUUGUUCGGAAUUACUGGGCGUAAAGCGCACGUAGGCGGAUAUUUAAGUCAGGGGUGAAAUCCCAGAGCUCAACUCUGGAACUGCCUUUGAUACUGGGUAUCUUGAGUAUGGAAGAGGUAAGUGGAAUUGCGAGUGUAGAGGUGAAAUUCGUAGAUAUUCGCAGGAACACCAGUGGCGAAGGCGGCUUACUGGUCCAUUACUGACGCUGAGGUGCGAAAGCGUGGGGAGCGAACAGG